CGGCGACCGGCGCACGGGUGCGUAACGCGUAUGCAACCUACCUUUAACAGGGGGAGUAACACUGAGAAAUUGGUACUAAUACCCCAUAAUAUCAUAGAAGGCAUCUUUUAUGGUUGAAAAUUCCGAUGGUUAGAGAUGGGCAUGCGUUGUAUUAGCUAGUUGGUGGGGUAACGGCUCACCAAGGCGACGAUACAUAGGGGGACUGAGAGGUUAACCCCCCACACUGGUACUGAGACACGGACCAG
rnacentral:rRNA from 1 species